CAGAAGAAUGGGAGAAAGAGGGAAAAUCUUUGUGGAUAUCCUUUCUGCCGUCAACACGGCCACCAAGCAUGUGCUUCUUGCCGGUAGGAGUGAUGUUCAUGACUGCAAGCUCAGUCACUGAGGUUGGGGACAACUGGGAGACUGUCUCCAAACUCGGAAAGUUUUCGGCAGUGGUUGUUACCUCCAGCCCUCAGACUGAGGUGUACAUAUCAUGUUGGACGUCAGCCAGCUAUCUCCCAUGCGCCCUAGAGAAGAUUGAGUGACUCUUUACCGUGGAAAAGGUCUGCCCUGUGCACAACCUUUAAAUUAUGAAUCCAUAGCGACUUCUUUUCCGCAUCUUGGGCUUUGCUUUCAGAAAACUAUCAUUCAGAGCUCACCAAAUGAUACUGGUUUACGCUCGAAAGAUUUCCCCAUACGACCCUUCCUUUACUUUCUCUGCUGGCUCGCUGUUACAUGUCAGGUGUUGAUGCACCUCUCCGCUGCUCCCGGCCUCCUUUGCUGGUCUGUUCUCUUGCUGUCCUAACCCUACCACAGGUUCCCCUCCAUGGUUGGUCCAUGCAUCAGAUCCUCCCUCAGCUUCACCCGCUCCUCUGAUUGGGCUGCGUAUUUAUCUGCUGCCCAUUUCCUAUUAUUUGAAGCUCAUCCUCCUUCACUCCUCACACUGUGAAGGAGGACCGUGAGAAGGAGGACCUAACGAUAUCAUAGUGACGUCAUCACAAUUUAUCUCAGUUCAGAAACUACAAAUUUACAACAGACAGCUUGCGAUGUGGAGUUUGAAGGAGGAAGGGUGUGUAUCAGACAGUGAGGGUCUAAUGAAAAGAUGUUGUUGCAUUGUGGGAAAUGUAGGAUCAGAGUGUUUGGAGCUUAACCCAUAUUAAGGACUAAAAGUUAGGAUAUGUCCACCUCUGUUGCUUUCAUUUUGAACUUUUGUUUAUUGUUAUCAUUAUUUUCCCUAUUGUAAAUCCUAUAAAUA